rnacentral:lncRNA from 1 species
AGGAAGUCAUCCUAGGCCAUAGGGCAGCCAUCAGAUGUAUAAUAUCUUCUGUAUGGUUCUGAAUGAAAAAGAAAAAGCCGUUUGGGGUCUGCAACUGGAGAACUCAAACCCAACUCCUUGGCACGCUGAGAAAUGAGAUGUUUGGGAUGGAGAGCCCCAUACUCUAUAGAAGAAACAGAAGACAAAAGAAGGGUUAAAAACAUUUGUGUUCCUUAAUUGAGCUGGUCGUGAUCCUUGUGACUAUCCUAACUGAAAUUGUUCAGAAACCUCCCAAGAUACCUAUGUGAAGAGAUGACUAAUCCAGAUCAUGGAGGCCACCCAGUGGCCAUGCACUUGUUCUUCAACAACUAAGGCACACAUACAAACUGAUUUCAGAUCCAGAUGAUCCCCCAGAGGAAGAAGACAAAAGGAUCCUGGGCCUCCACAUUCAUAUUUUCACACAUUUUGUGAAAACCCAGACUACCCUUCCAUGAACAUGAGGAAUCACACAUUGCUGAAUGAAUUCAUUCUACGGGGAAUACCUCAGACAGAGGGACUGGAGGCUGUACUCUGUGCUGUCUUCUCAUUCAUCUACCUCUUCACCCUACUUGGAAAUUUACUCAUCCUUAUAGCGAUUGUUUCUUCACACUCCUAUGUAUUUCUUCUUGGGACGCCUGUCUACUUUUGACAUAUUGUUCCCAUCUGUAACAUGUCCCAAGAUGCUAUUGUAUCUCUCUGGCCAGAGCCCAGUCAUUUCUUUUAAGGGAUGUGCUUCACAGCUCUUCUUCUAUCAGUUGCUGGGUUCUGCUGAAGGCUGCCUCUAUUCUGUGAUGUCUUAUGAUCGCUUUGUUGCCAUACAUCACACACUGAGAUAUAUGCUCAUCAUGAAGCCUGGAGUCUGUGUCGGCUUGGUCGUGGUGCCGGGUUGGUGGGUUGUCUUCACGCCACCAUUCUGACCUCCUUUACCUUUCAGUUGUCCUACUGUGGCCCCAAUCAGGUGGACUACUUCUUCUGUGACAUUCCUGCUGUUUUACCCCUGGCUUGUACUGACAGUGCCCUGGCCCAGAGGGUGGGUUCCAUAAAUGUUGGCUUUCUGGCUUUAACACUUUUGAUCAGUGUCUGUGUCUGCUACACUAGCAUUGGGAUUGCCAUCUUGAGAAUCCGCUCAUCAGAGGGCAGGCAGAAAGCCUUCUCCACCUGCAGUGCUCACCUUGUUGCAAUCCUCUGUGCCUAUGGACCUGUAAUCAUCAUCUAUCUGAAGUCCACACCCAACCCCUUGCUUGGUGCCAGGUGCAAAUAUUAAAUAAUGUUGUCUCACCCAUGCUGAACUCGUUAAUCUAUUCCUUAAGGAACAAGGAAGUGAAAAGGUCCCUGAAAAGAGUAUUCUGAAAUGUUUUACUUACUGUUUGUGAAUAAAUUAUGAGUUAUUAUUGGGAAUAAAUGUCAUAAUUAACAUUAUUCUUUGUCUCUUAGUUCUGGAUAAGGAAUCCAAAGGGCAUA